UACGAAGGGUGCAAGCGUUACUCGGAAUUACUGGGCGUAAAGGGCGCGUAGGCGGCGUGGUAAGUCACUUGUGAAAUCUCUGAGCUUAACUCAGAACGGUCAAGUGAUACUGCUGUGCUAGAGUGCGGAAGGGGCAAUCGGAAUUCUUGGUGUAGCGGUGAAAUGCGUAGAUAUCAAGAGGAACACCUGAGGUGAAGACGGGUUGCUGGGCCGACACUGACGCUGAUGCGCGAAAGCCAGGGGAGCAAACGGG
rnacentral:rRNA from 1 species